AGUAUGAGAUGAUGCUUUUGCCAUUGUCACUGAAGUGAGCAUCCGCCUCCAGCACCUUCCUAUAUCACUGCUGCCCAAUACAGAAGUCUGGUUUGUUCUGAGUUAAUCUGCGAUGAGUUUGGAAAAAUUUACUCAUCUCUACUUUUCUGAUUCCUACCAUCAUGUUGAACCUGCAGUGGGAAAAUAACGGAGUACCUUUAUUAGGACCAUCUGAAAGUAACACAUUUUCUUCAUCUAUUAUUACACCCUGACAGUUCUCUUGCAACAUGCUGAUGAGCUGCAGAACAUAGUUUGGGAACUCCUAAAGAUGUGGAAAUGGAAUAUAAGGGCAUAGGAUCAGGACCGAGAUAAUCACCGUGUUAUUAAAAUCAAAUAAAAAUUGAGUUGAUUA